CAGUCGAGCGGAACGAAGGUAGCUUGCUACCAGGCGUCNNNNGGCGGACGGGUGAGUAAUGCUUAGGAAUCUACCGAGUAGUGGGGGAUAGCCAUUGGAAACGAUGAUUAAUACCGCAUAUAUCCUACGGGGGAAAGCAGGGGACCUUCGGGCCUUGCGCUAUUCGAUGAGCCUGAGUGAGAUUAGCUAGUUGGUGGGGUAAAGGCCUACCAAGGCGACGAUCUCUAGCUGGUCUGAGAGGAUGAUCAGCCACACUGGGACUGAGACACGGCCCAGACUCCUACGGGAGGCAGCAGUGGGGAAUAUUGCACAAUGGACGAAAGUCUGAUGCAGCCAUGCCGCGUGUGUGAAGAAGGCCUUCGGGUUGUAAAGCACUUUCAGCGAGGAGGAAAGGUCAGUAAGUAAUAUUUGCUGGCUGUGACGUUACUCGCAGAAGAAGCACCGGCUAAUUUAGUGCCAGCAGCCGCGGUAAUACUAAAGGUGCAAGCGUUAAUCGGAAUUACUGGGCGUAAAGCGCGCGUAGGUGGUUUGUUAAGUUGGAUGUGAAAGCCCAGGGCUCAACCUUGGAACUGCAUUCAAAACUGACUCACUAGAGUACGAGAGAGGUUAGUGGAAUUUCCUGUGUAGCGGUGAAAUGCGUAGAGAUGGGAAGGAACACCAGUGGCGAAGGCGACUGACUGGCUCGAUACUGACACUGAGGUGCGAAAGCGUGGGGAGCAAACGGGAUUAGAUACCCCGGUAGUCCACGCCGUAAACGAUGUCUACUAGCCGUUGGAGGACUUGAUCCUUUAGUGGCGCAGCUAACGCGAUAAGUAGACCGCCUGGGGAGUACGGUCGCAAGAUUAAAACUCAAAUGAAUUGACGGGGGCCCGCACAAGCGGUGGAGCAUGUGGUUUAAUUCGAAGCAACGCGAAGAACCUUACCUACUCUUGACAUCCAGUGAACUUUUGAGAGAUCAAUUGGUGCCUUCGGNNNNNNUGAGACAGGUGCUGCAUGGCUGUCGUC
rnacentral:rRNA from 1 species